ACGCGAGGAACCUUACCAGGUCUUGACAUCCUUCGCUACUUCUAGAGAUAGAAGGUUCCCCUUCGGGGGACGAAGUGACAGGUGGUGCAUGGUUGUCGUCAGCUCGUGUCGUGAGAUGUUGGGUUAAGUCCCGCAACGAGCGCAACCCUUGAUCUUAGUUGCCAGCAUUCAGUUGGGCACUCUAAGGUGACUGCCGGUGACAAACCGGAGGAAGGUGGGGAUGACGUCAAAUCAUCAUGCCCCUUAUGACCUGGGCUACACACGUGCUACAAUGGACGGUACAAACGGUUGCCAACCCGCGAGGGGGAGCUAAUCCGAUAAAACCGUUCUCAGUUCGGAUUGUAGGCUGCAACUCGCCUACAUGAAGCCGGAAUCGCUAGUAAUCGCGGAUCAGCAUGCCGCGGUGAAUACGUUCCCGGGCCUUGUACACACCGCCCGU
rnacentral:rRNA from 1 species